AUAACAUAGUGUAUGAUGCAUAUAAAUUUUUGAUAUUUAUAGUUAAAGUUUAAUUCUUUAUGUUAUAA
rnacentral:tRNA from 1 species